GACAAAAUAGCAUCACAGACUGGCUUCACAUAACUCAAGUCAUGAACAUUCCAAAUCUAGCAAAGUCUCUAUUAUGCUCACAUUUUUUUCCCCAAUGUUUGAACAAGCACAGAAGGAAUAAAGAGAUUAACCUGAAAUCGAACUUUUCUUUUGAUAACAGAAGCAAAAUCGAUUACAAUCUUUGACUCCAAAAUUUCAGCAAGAAAAUAACAGCUGGUCAAGGCUCGAAGAACAGCCUAACCAGUACCAGAGACGAGUAGAAAUCAGAGGCUUGGACAAUGAUGAACUCAACAACUUUCAAUCGAGCUCCAUUUUUUAAACGAACUCCAUCACAAGCAAGGUUGACCCAGAGAUGAGAUGCAAAGAAACCAAUUUUAUUUUUUAUUUUUUUUGUUCCUUGAUUUUAACAAAGAAUAACAAAACUAAACACGAAAAGAAAGCUCAAAACGAUUUUGGUUGAAUUUUUCUAUAUUUUCAACGAAUAUGAAAAAGUAUAUGAGAAUCGGAAGAGGAAAAUUUUCAGAAAACCAUAACCCCUUUUCGAAGAAGUAUCUCAAGAACCCUGAAAUUUUUAUCCUAAAAUUUUCAAAAUAUAUAAAAAAAAAAUCCAUCCCUCUUUUACUAAAAAUGCUCCCUUAUAUAUCCAACCUCUAGAUUCUUUCCUUUUUCUUCAAGAAAUCAGAUAAGGCCCUUUUGAAAACGAGCACGUGAUGAAUGUGAGGCUCGGUUUGAAUGAGAUCGAUCCGACGCUUCUCACUCAUCCAGCACUCCUCUUCUUGUGCCUUCUAUCUGCAUGAAAUAGCUUGAAAACGGGCAAGUGAUGGAGGGAAUCUUGUUGUUUUCAGAGGCCGUUAUGUGGCAGGAGGAGAGAAGGGGGAGCGCGUGAGGUGAAUUUUUUGGGUGAACUCGGGCGAGGCAGAGGGUGAUUUAGGUUGUUUGGAGAAGAGGAACAAUGAGGCGUCGUU
rnacentral:lncRNA from 1 species